rnacentral:rRNA from 1 species
CGUUAAUCGGAAUUACUGGGCGUAAAGCGCGCGUAGGCGGUUUGCUAAGUCAGAUGUGAAAUCCCCGGGCUCAACCUGGGAAUGGCAUUUGAGACUGGUAGGCUAGAAUGUGGUAGAGGUGAGUGGAAUUCCAGGUGUAGCGGUGAAAUGCGUAGAGAUCUGGAGGAACAUCAGUGGCGAAGGCGACUCACUGGGCCAUUAUUGACGCUGAGGUGCGAAAGCGUGGGUAGCAAACAGGAUUAGAUACCCUGGUAGUCCACGCCCUAAACGAUGUCAACUAGGUGUAUGGGAAAUUUAUUUCUUGUGUAUCGAAGCUAACGCGAUAAGUUGACCGCCUGGGGAGUACGGUCGCAAGACUAAAACUCAAAUGAAUUGACGGGGGCCCGCACAAGCGGUGGAGCAUGUGGUUUAAUUCGAUGCAACGCGAAGAACCUUACCUGGCCUUGACAUGCACGGAACUUUCCAGAGAUGGAUUGGUGCCUUCGGGAACCAUGACACAGGUGCUGCAUGGCUGUCGUCAGCUCGGGUCGUGAGAUGUUGGGUUAAGUCCCGCAACGAGCGCAACCCCUGUCCUUAGUUGCCAUCAUUCAGUUGGGCACUCUAAGGAGACUGCCGGUGACAAACCGGAGGAAGGUGGGGAUGAAGUCAAGUCAUCAUGGCCCUUAUGGCCAGGGCUACACACGUGCUACAAUGGCAAGUACAAAGGGUUGCUAACUCGCGAGAGUGUGCUAAUCCCAUAAAGCUUGUCGUAGUCCGGAUCGCAGUCUGCAACUCGACUGCGUGAAGUCGGAAUCGCUAGUAAUCGCGGAUCAGAAUGCCGCGGUGAAUACGUUCCCGGGCCUUGUACACACCGCCCGUCACACCAUGGGAGUUGGCUGCAAAAGAAG